GCAUAGCUCAGUGGUAGAGCACCUGCUUCGCAUGCAUAAGGUCCUGGGUUCAUCUCCAGGUAGCAGCU